rnacentral:lncRNA from 1 species
CCCCAAGUGGCUGCAAAUCUUCUUUCUGUUUUUUUCUUUCUGAGACAAGAAAAUAUACUCCAAAUAUAAAAAAUUAAGAAAGUUAAAGCAACAAGAACAUACACUACACAGUGGCGAUAGGCAAAAUUCCAGCCAAUGUGCGCAUUUAGGAGCAAGAGGAGGAGAUGGAUAUGGGGAGGUGUCCACUUCCUGCUCACGUCAGAAGCACUGGGGAGCUUAGGUCUAAAGCUCUUCUGGGAGAGAAGAGGAGACCCUGGAUCUAAGACAUUCUGUAACUGCUGCUCUCGGCCCACAGGCCUGUUGCAAGGAGCCUUCCAGGGAACCGGCCUGCAGACUAACUCUGGAAGGGCACAUACAUAGAGCGUGUGUUGCUGAGUUUCCUCCUGCUGGUGGCAUUCUCUUGGGAAGGACUGCCUCUCCUGCCCUGGAUUUGGAUCUUGACCUUUACUGAGCGCAUUUAGGUAAGACAGCCUGCAUGACACUCUCUCUAUCCUGGAUCAAUUCCCUGCAGUCCCUUAAAGAUGUUUGCACUGUGCACGUCCUAAAGUCCAUCCUCUUCUCGGUAGAGGUGUCCCUUGCUAAUACUCUUCUAUUCUUCCUUGUCAUCCCUUGGCCUUACACCUCUACUGUGCCACCUUCUCUGCAUCCUUUUAUAAGUUUUCCUUUUUGGCUUUCAAAACCUUUUCUUUUCUGAGAGCAAUUCUUUCCCUGUAUUUCAAUUAGACUUGUCAGAAUUUGGGGUUUACCCCCUGCCCCCCCCCUUUUUAGGUAUCCUUAUUUGUCUAUAGUCCUGUUCAUUUUUGCCUUACGUAUUUUGAGACAAUAUUAGAUGCACGCAUGUUCAUUGUUGGAUCUCCUGGUGAACUGAACCUUUUGUCAUUAUGUGGUAGUCCCCUUUAUCCACAGAAAGGUUUUUUGUGCAUUAAAGUCUAUUUGGGGGGGUUGAGAAAGGCAGAAAAAAGAAAUCUGAGCUUUCAUCCUCUACAGUUUUGCCCCGUGCUCCUUCACUUACACUAAUUGGUACAGUUGUUCAAGCUGAUGCACAUUCUUUCUGCAAGCUGUGCUAUGUGUCCAUAUUUUAAGUGAUCUGACUAUUCUAAAAAGAAUUUCAUUCAUGGUUCCACUGUAAAGAAUUUGGCCAAACGCGCUAAAAUGUCCUUCUGCUCCAUGCUGUGACAAUACAGAGAAAAAAAGCAAACAGCGUAGUCUUUCAAUUGUGAAACAUAUUUCCAUACUGUGUUGCUGUUUCAGUCAUGGGUAUUGGAGUGUAUCAUCACCGUUAUUGCAAAAUUUCUUUCCAACUGAAAUUAUAUCACUGCACAUAAUGGGAAAAAACCCAACGCAGUGAUUGUCCUGUGAAGAAUCAGCAUGAAGCCUGUUGCUGGGAAAGUCCUUUUUCGUGGGAACUGUGGCUCCUCCUUGAACAUUUUCAGACGGUGCCUGGUCAGAAGCAUUUCCGCAGUUAAUGAAUUCACACCUGCCAAUAUGUGGGAAUCACAAGCAAAUGGAUACUUAUUUACAAUCACACAAAAAGCACUUUAACCAAGACACUCCCAAGUUUUUUAAAUAUUCUAAUUUAGCACAACUAAAGCUAUUUAAAAGUUACAGGAAUAAACAAUUUUAAGGAAAUCUUCCUCUUUCUUUU